GGCAACACAACCGGGGUAGGGGAGCGUCGUAUUUGGGCAGAAGCUGUACCGAAAGGAGCAGUGGACCGAAUACGAGAGAGAAUGCUGGUAUAAGUAGCGAGAGAAUGGUGAGAAUCCAUUCCGUCGAAAAUCUAAGGAUUCCUGAGGAAGGUUCGUCCGCUCAGGGUAAGUCGGGACCUAAGGAGAGGCGUAUAGCGUAUCCGAUGGACAAUCGGUUGAUAAUCCGAUACCACCUUAUAUCGAUUGGAGGAAGCAGUGACACAGGAGGAUAGGGGAGCACGGAGUUGGUAAUCCGUGUCCAAGCACCGAGGCUGGUGUGUAGGAAAGACCGCACAUCGUAAGGUUGAGGUGUUAAGGGGAGCGAAAUUAGAGUAGUGAAGGAACUGAUUUCACACUGUCGAGAAAAGCUGCUAACGAGAUAUAGGGUGCCCGUACCGCAAACCGACACAGGUAGAUGAGGAGAGAAUCCUAAGACGAACGAGAGAAGCGUUGUUAAGGAACUAGGCAAAAUGACCCCGUAACUUAGGGAUAAGGGGCGCCGGGGCAACCCGGCCGCAGUGAAUGGGCCCAAGCGACUGUUUAGCAAAAACACAGGUCUCUGCGAAAUCGAAAGAUGACGUAUAGGGGCUGACGCCUGCCCGGUGCUGGAAGGUUAAGGGGAAAGGUAAGCGCAAGCGAAGCUUUGAACUUAAGCCCCAGUAAACGGCGGCCGUAACUAUAACGGUCCUAAGGUAGCGAAAUUCCUUGUCAGGUAAGUUCUGACCCGCACGAAUGGCGUAACGACUUGGGCACUGUCUCGACAACGCGCUCGGCGAAAUUGUAGUACUAGUGAAGAUGCUAGUUACCCGCGAUUGGACGGAAAGACCCCGUAGAGCUUUACUGCAACUUGACUUUGGGUUUUGGUAUUUCAUGUACAGGAUAGGUGGGAGACAGAGAAGGGAGGACGCCAGUUUUCCCGGAGUCGCUGUUGGGAUACCACUCUUGAGAUACCGGAAUUCUAACCAGUGGCCGGAGACCGGUCAUGGGACAUAGUCAGGCGGGCAGUUUGACUGGGGCGGUCGCCUCCCAAAGAGUAACGGAGGCGUCCCAAGGUUCCCUCAGAAUGGUUGGAAAUCAUUCGUAGAGUGCAAAGGCAGAAGGGAGCCUGACUGCGAGAGAGGCAACUCGAGCAGGUACGAAAGUAGGGCUUAGUGAUCCGGUGGUACCGAGUGGAAGGGCCAUCGCUCAACGGAUAAAAGCUACCUCGGGGAUAACAGGCUUAUCUCCCCCAAGAGUCCACAUCGACGGGGAGGUUUGGCACCUCGAUGUCGGCUCGUCGCAUCCUGGGGCUGAAGUAGGUCCCAAGGGUUGGGCUGUUCGCCCAUUAAAGCGGCACGCGAGCUGGGUUCAGAACGUCGUGAGACAGUUCGGUCCCUAUCCGUCGCGGGCGUAGGAAAUUUGAGGAGAGCUGUCCUUAGUACGAGAGGACCGGGAUGGACGGACCAAUGGUGUAUCAGUUGUUCUGCCAAGGGCAUAGCUGAGUAGCCAAGUCCGGAACGGAUAAGCGCUGAAGGCAUCUAAGCGCGAAGCCGCCUCCAAGAUAAGAUUUCCCACAGAGUAAUCUGGUAAGACCCCAUGUAGACCACAUGGUUGAUAGGUCGGAGGUGUAAGCGUGGCAACACGUUCAGCUGACCGAUACUAAUAGGUCGAGGGCUUGACU
rnacentral:rRNA from 1 species